GAUGAACGCUGGCGGCGUGCCUAACACAUGCAAGUCGAGCGGACCUUGCGAGAGCGGAGACUUCGGUCAAAGCGAUUGCACUGGUUAGCGGCGGACGGGUGAGUAACACGUGGGUAACCUACCUUUCUUUGGGGGAUAACAAUCAGAAAUGAUUGCUAAUACCGCAUACGGUCGUUUGAUGGCAUCAUCGAGCGAGGAAAGAUUUAUCGAAGGAAGAGGGGCCCGCGUCUGAUUAGCUAGUUGGUGGGGUAAAGGCCUACCAAGGCAACGAUCAGUAGCCGACCUGAGAGGGUGAUCGGCCACAUUGGGACUGAGACACGGCCCAAACUCCUACGGGAGGCAGCAGUGAGGAAUAUUGCGCAAUGGACGGAAGUCUGACGCAGCAACGCCGCGUGAAGGAAGACGGUUUUCGGAUUGUAAACUUCUAUCGACAGGGACGAAUAAUGACGGUACCUGGGUAAGAAGCCCCGGCUAACUACGUGCCAGCAGCCGCGGUAAUACGUAGGGGGCAAGCGUUAUCCGGAAUCACUGGGCGUAAAGGGUGUGUAGGCGGUUAUUUAGGUCAUAUGUGAAAUCCCCGGGCUUAACCCGGGAAUGGCAUAAGAAACCGGAUGACUAGAGUGCAGGAGAGGUAAGCGGAAUUCCUAGUGUAGCGGUGAAAUGCGUAGAUAUUAGGAAGAACACCAGUGGCGAAGGCGGCUUACUGGACUGAAACUGACGCUGAGACACGAAAGCGUGGGGAGCGAACAGGAUUAGAUACCCUGGUAGUCCACGCUGUAAACGAUGAAUGCUAGGUGUCGGGUGGAGACAUUCGGUGCCGGAGUAAACGCAAUAAGCAUUCCGCCUGGGGAGUACGUACGCAAGUAUGAAACUCAAAGGAAUUGACGGGGGCCCGCACAAGCGGUGGAGCAUGUUGUUUAAUUCGACGCAACGCGAAGAACCUUACCAAGGCUUGACAUGGCAAUGACAGGUACAGAGAUGUACCCUUCUUCGGACAUUGCACACAGGUGGUGCAUGGUUGUCGUCAGCUCGUGUCGUGAGAUGUUGGGUUAAGUCCCGCAACGAGCGCAACCCCUAUAUCAAGUAGCCAGCAGGUAAAGCUGGGCACUCUGGAUAGACUGCCGUGGAUAACACGGAGGAAGGCGGGGAUGACGUCAAAUCAUCAUGCCCCUUACGUCUUGGGCUACAAACGUGCUACAAUGGCUGGAACAAAGUGAAGCAAGACGGCGACGUUAAGCAAAGCACAAAAAACCAGUCUCAGUUCGGAUUGCAGUCUGCAACUCGACUGCAUGAAGUUGGAAUCGCUAGUAAUCGCGAAUCAGAAUGUCGCGGUGAAUACGUUCCCGGGCCUUGUACACACCGCCCGUCACACCAUGGGAGUUGGAAGCGCCCGAAGCCCGUGACCUAACCGCAAGGGAGGAGCAGUCGAAGGUGAAGUCAAUGACUAGGGUG
rnacentral:rRNA from 1 species